rnacentral:rRNA from 16 species
GGAAAGAAGACCCUGUUGAGCUUGACUCUAGUCAGACGUUGUGAAAUGACUCAUGAGGUGUAGAAUAAGUGGGAGCGCUUUGGUGUGUCGGUGAAAUACCACUACUCGUGUAGUCGUUUUACUUAGUUGGUUGGGUCUGGGCUCGGUCCUUUUGCGGGGCGGAGUGACAGAGGCAAGCGCCGUGUGGUGCGACAGGUCCAACGACAGCGUUCGGUGGGGAGUUUGGCUGGGGCGGCAC